AGUGAACGCUGGCGGCAGGCCUAACACAUGCAAGUCGAGCGGCAGCGGGUCCCCGCGAGGGGAUGCCGGCGAGCGGCAGACGGGUGAGGAACACAUCGGAAUCUGCCUGGUUGUGGGGGAUAACGUAGGGAAACUUACGCUAAUACCGCAUGAGACCCUGAGUCGACGGACUGGGGGGUGAAAGUGAGGGACCUUCGGGCCUCACGCGACCAGAUGAGCCGAUGUCGGAUAGCUAGUUGGCGGGGUAACGGCCCGCCAAGGCGACGAUCCGUAGCUGGUCUGAGAGGAUGAUCAGCCACACUGGGACUGAGACACGGCCCAGACUCCUACGGGAGGCAGCAGUGGGGAAUCUUGGACAAUGGGCGCAAGCCUGAUCCAGCCAUGCCGCGUGGGUGAAGAAGGCCU
rnacentral:rRNA from 1 species